rfam:Escherichia coli str. K-12 substr. MG1655, complete genome.
AAAGUUUGCAAAUUCAAUAAAUUGCAGAAUUCAUGUAGGCCU